GAUGAACGCUGGCGGCGUGCCUAAUACAUGCAAGUCGAGCGAACAGACGAGGAGCUUGCUCCUCUGACGUUAGCGGCGGACGGGUGAGUAACACGUGGAUAACCUACCUAUAAGACUGGGAUAACUUCGGGAAACCGGAGCUAAUACCGGAUAAUAUAUUGAACCGCAUGGUUCAAUAGUGAAAGACGGUUUUGCUGUCACUUAUAGAUGGAUCCGCGCCGCAUUAGCUAGUUGGUAAGGUAACGGCUUACCAAGGCAACGAGGCGUAGCCGACCUGAGAGGGUGGUCGGCCACACUGGAACGGAGACACGGUCCAGAGUCCUACGGGAGGCAGCAGUAGGGAAUCGGCCGCAAUGGGCGAAAGCCUGACGGAGCAGCGCCGCGUGAGUGGUGAAGGUCUUCGGAUCGUAAAACUCUGUUAUUAGGGAAGAACAAAUGUGUAAGUAACUAAGCACGUAUUGACGGUACCUGAUCAGAAAGCCACGGCUAACUACGUG
rnacentral:rRNA from 1 species